rnacentral:rRNA from 1 species
UGAGGAAUAUUGGGCAAUGCCCGCAAGGGUGACCCAGCAACGCCGCGUGGAGGAUGAAUGUCGUAAGAUUGUAAACUCCCGUUAGAGGGGAAGAAUAGUACCGGUUGGACCGGUAUAUGACUGUACCCUCAGAGAAAGCCCCGGCUAACUACGUGCCAGCAGCCGCGGUAAUACGUAGGGGGCAAGCGUUGUCCGGAUUUACUGGGUGUAAAGGGCGCGCAGGCGGGAUAAAAAGUCAGUGGUGAAAUCCUACAGCUUAACUGUAGAACUGCCUUUGAUACUUUUAUUCUUGAGUUCGGGAGAGAGAGACGGAAUUCCAGGUGUAGUGGUGAAAUACGUAGAUAUCUGGAAGAACACCAGUUGCGAAGGCGGUCUCUUGGUCCGACACUGACGCUGAGGCGCGAAAGCGUGGGGAGCAAAC